AUUGAACGCUAGCGGGAUGCUUUACACAUGCAAGUCGAACGAGUGGCGGACGGGUGAGUAAUAUAUCGGAACGUGCCCAGUAGCGGGGGAUAACUACUCGAAAGAGCGGCUAAUCCAGCAUACUAUUGGAGCGGCCGAUAUCGGACUAGCUAGUUGGUGGGGUAAAGGCUCACCAAGGCACCGAUCCGUAGCUGGUGUGAGAGGACGACCAGCAACACUGGGACUGGGACACGGCCCAGACUCCGACGCGAGGCAGCAGUGGGGAAUUUUGGACAAUGGGGAGAACCCUGUACCAGUCAUCCCGCGUGUAUGAGAAGGCCUUCGGUGUGUGAAGUACUUUAGGCAUAGAAGCGGUAUCUGCAGAAUAAGCACCGGCUAACUACGUGCCAGCAGCCGCGGUAAUAC
rnacentral:rRNA from 1 species